AGUGAACGCUGGCGGUAGGCCUAACACAUGCAAGUCGAACGGCAGCACAGUAAGAGCUUGCUCUUCCGGGUGGCGAGUGGCGGACGGGUGAGGAAUACAUCGUAAUCUACUUUUUCGUGGGGGCUAACGUAGGGAAACUUACGCUAAUACCUCAUACGACCUACGGUUGAAAGCAGGGGAUCUUCGGACCUUGCGCGAUUGAAUGAGCCGAUGUCGGAUUGGCUAUUUGGCGGGGUAAAGGCCCACCAAGGCGACGAUCCGUAGCUGGUCUGAGAGUAUGAUCAGCCACACUGGAACUGAGACACGGUCCAGACUCCUACGGGAGGGAGCAGUGGGGAAUAUUGGACAAUGGGAGCAAGCCUGAUCCAACCAUACCGCGUGGGUGAAGAAGGCCUUCGGGUUGUAAAGCCCGUUUGUUGGGAAAGAAAAGCAGAAGGUUAAUACCCAGCUGUUCUGACGGUACCCAAAGAAGAAGCACCGGCUAACUUCGUG
rnacentral:rRNA from 1 species